UAACGGGAGGCAGCAGUAGGGAAUCUUCCACAAUGGACGCAAGUCUGAUGGAGCAACGCCGCGUGAGUGAAGAAGGUUUUCGGAUCGUAAAGCUCUGUUGUUGGUGAAGAAGGACAGGGAAAGCAACUGGUUCCUGUUUGACGGUAAUCAACCAGAAAGUCACGGCUAACUACGUGCCAGCAGCCGCGGUAAUACGUAGGUGGCAAGCGUUGUCCGGAUUUAUUGGGCGUAAAGCGAACGCAGGCGGGAGAAUAAGUCAGCUGUGAAAGCCCUCAGCUUAACUGGGGAACUGCAGCUGAAACUAUUUUUCUUGAGUGCAGAAGAGGAGAGUGGAACUCCAUGUGUAGCGGUGGAAUGCGUAGAUAUAUGGAAGAACACCAGUGGCGAAGGCGGCUCUCUGGUCUGUAACUGACGCUGAGGUUCGAAAGCAUGGGUAGCGAACAGGAUUAGAUACCCUGGUAGUCCAUGCCGUAAACGAUGAGUGCUAAGUGUUGGGAGGUUUCCGCCUCUCAGUGCUGCAGCUAACGCAUUAAGCACUCCGCCUGGGGAGUACGACCGCAAGGUUAAAACUCAAAGGAAUUGACGGGGGCCCNCACAAGCGGUG
rnacentral:rRNA from 1 species